rnacentral:lncRNA from 1 species
GCCUGGCUUUGUGAAUAAUUAAAACUCUGUGGUGCCUGAGUCCCAAAAUGGCACCCUAUUCCCUUUAUAGUGAGUGCACUACUGUUGAGUAGAGCUAUAGUGCCCAACUGGGCCGGGGCUCUGGUCCAAAGCAGUGCACUAUGUAGGGCAUAGGAUUCCAUUUGGGACUCUGCCUCUGAAACACAUCAAUAAAUAAUAAAAGCAAUGGUGUAGCAGCUGAUGAUGUCAUGGAGGCAGGUAGUCUAGUGGUUAGAGGCAGGUAGUCUAGUGGUUAGAGGCAGGUAGCCUAGUGGUUAGAGGCAGGUAGCCUAGUGGUUAGAGGCAGGUAGCCUAGUGGUUAGAGGCAGGUAGUCUAGUGGUUAGAGGCAGGUAGUCUAGUGGUUAGAGGCAGGUAGUCUAGUGGUUAGAGGCAGGUAGUCUAGUGGUUAGAGGCAGGUAGUCUAGUGGUUAGAGGCAGGUAGCCUAGUGGUUAGAGGCAGGUAGCCUAGUGGUUAGAGGCAGGUAGCCUAGUGGUUAGAGGCAGGUAGCCUAGUGGUUAGAGGCAGGUAGCCUAGUGGUUAGAGCGUUGGGCCAGUAACCGAAAGGUAGAUCCCUGAGCUGACAAGGUAAAAAUCUGUCGUUCUGCCCCUGAACAAGGCAGUUAACCCACUGUUCCCCGGUAGGCCGUCAUUGUAAAUAAGAUUUUGUUCUUAACUGACUUG